AUACUUAUUCAACACACGUAUUAGUCACUCAUAAAAUCAGGUCAAUUUUUUUUUUGGAAACGGAACAAAAAACUAAAGAGAUGGGAAAAAAGGGUGAAUGUAAGGAGAAAAGUUUCAUUCUUCAGAUUUUCUCAAGUGCGGAAACCGGAACCUUCGGUUAGUCUCCGUUUGUUCAACUGAUUGUUUUCCUCCUUUAACCGCUCUAUUAUCUCCUUCAUAGACUUCGUCUGUGCCUGAAAAUGAAAAUGCAAUAAAAGUUGAUUCGUUUUUA